rnacentral:tRNA from 1 species
GCCUAUGUAGCUCAGCUGGUUUAGAGCGCUGGAUUCAUAACCCGGAGGUCGGCGGUUCGAGUCCGCCCAUCGGCACUA